CAAAACUGUCUUCACCAAGAAGUGCCUGCCUAUUGAUUUCACAGGACAAGGAUAUGGAAAUAUGCCUCAGAACAUCGUCAUAUGUCAGGCUUUACAGCUUCUCCUAAUUAUUUAGCUUCUGAAGCUAUGAACUCGUUUCUGUUCAGACUCUUUUGGUUGUAGGAACCAUUAAGUAGCAAAUAGCCUCCUUCAACACUUGAGAUCAUGCCUUGCUUCUUGUAGUAGGAACCCGUGAAUUGGGUUCAGAUACCGAAAUUGUACCCCUAGCAGGCAUCUCAUGGUUAUGUUUCCCCUCA
rnacentral:misc_RNA from 1 species